GUGCCAGCAGCCGCGGUAAUACGGAGGGUGCAAGCGUUGUUCGGAUUCACUGGGUAUAAAGGGUGCGUAGGCGGCCUUGUAAGUCAGAGGUGAAAGCUGCCGGCUUAACUGGCAAAUUGCCUUUGAGACUGCAAGGCUUGAGUCCGGGAGAGGAAGGCGGAAUUCCAGGUGUAGCGGUGAAAUGCGUAAAUAUCUGGAGGAACACCGGUGGCGAAGGCGGCCUUCUGGUCCGGUACUGACGCUGAGGCACGAAAGCCAGGGGAGCAAACGGGAUUAGAUACCCGGGUAGUCC
rnacentral:rRNA from 1 species